UCUGAGGAAGUGAGAGCUGCUGUAUUGGCAAAAACUCCAGAAUCAGUGGAAGCAGUUGCAGAAGUAGCUGGCUUGUACAUACAAGCAGAGACGGUUUUGGAGGAAAGGAGUGCUUGUCUGGAGGGGUCCUUGGCAGAGAGAGGAGUGAAGCUGAGUUGAGACAGCAAUGUUGCUGGGAACACGUGUAGUAAACAGGGUCCUUGAGACAGCAAGAGGGGGAAAUGGCAGGAGACAAGACAAAUCCACAUUUCAGCAAACACAGGGGAGAAGAGAGAGCAUGCAGCCACCUUCCACACCAAACUCCACAUCACCUUCUUUACUGUUUGAAUAAACUUUGCUUUGAGGGGUAAUCCUCAGAAGAAUCCACUUCAAAGGGUGACUGGGCUACAAAAAUGAGGCACAAAAGC